rnacentral:misc_RNA from 1 species
CUCCUCUCUAAAUGCAUUAGCAGAGUCUUUCGAGAUGCUGCCUCGGUGUGAUAAUUGUCUACACUGUGUGUAUGCGUCUUGCUUGUUGCUACCCCGCUUGAACAAGGCGGUUGUGUGGCUGGGACAAAGCUUCUAACCGUCUGCAAAGACAACAUCUGACAUCUGACCUCAAAUCAGGUAGGAUUACCCGCUGAACUUAA